GACGAACGCUGGCGGCGUGCUUAACACAUGCAAGUCGAACGGUAAGGCCCUUCGGGGUACACGAGUGGCGAACGGGUGAGUAACACGUGGGUGAUCUGCCCUGCACUUCGGGAUAAGCCUGGGAAACUGGGUCUAAUGCCGGAUAGGACUCCUGGCUUCAUGGUUGGGGGUGGAAAGCUUUUGCGGUGUGGGAUGGGCCCGCGGCCUAUCAGCUUGUUGGUGGGGGAAUGGCCGACCAAGGCGACGACGGGUAGCCGGCCUGAGAGGGUGACCGGUCACACUGGGACUGAGAUACGGCCCAGGCUCCUACGGGAGGCAGCAGUGGGGAAUAUUGCACAAUGGGCGCAAGCCUGAUGCAGCGACGCCGCGUGAGGGAUGACGGCCUUCGGGUUGUAAACCUCUUUCAGCUAUGACGAAGCGCAAGUGACGGUAGUAGCAGAAGAAGGACCGGCCAACUACGUGCCAGCCGCCGCGGUAA
rnacentral:rRNA from 1 species